rnacentral:sRNA from 1 species
GCUUUGCGUUAAGGAUGGAAGUGGCAUCCUUUUUUUGCUGCCAUAUAUGGCAAAAAAAGAUAUAAUGGACAGCCUGACCCACU